rnacentral:rRNA from 1 species
CGCAAUGGGGGAAACCCUGACGCAGCGACGCCGUGUGAGGGAAGAAGGCUUUCGGGUCGUAAACCUCUGUCAGGAAGGAAGAACCUCUCAAGGCUGAACAAGCCUUGGGACUGACGGUACUUCCAGAGGAAGCACCGGCUAACUCCGUGCCAGCAGCCGCGGUAAUACGGAGGAUGCAAGCGUUAUCCGGAUUCAUUGGGUUUAAAGGGUGCGUAGGCGGGCUUGUAAGUCAGUGGUGAAAUCUCUCAGCUUAACUGAGAAACUGCCAUUGAUACUGCAGGCCUAGAGUAUAGAUGACGUUGGCGGAAUAUGACAUGUAGUGGUGAAAUACUUAGAUAUGUCAUAGAACACCGAUUGCGAAGGCAGCUAACGAAACUAUAACUGACGCUGAGGCACGAAAGUGCGGGGAUCAAACA